AGUAACGGCGAGUGAAGCGGCAACAGCUCAAAUUUGAAAUCUGGCCUUUGGUCCGAGUUGUAAUUUGCAGAGGAUGCUUCGGGCGCGGUGCCUUCCAAGUCCCCUGGAACGGGGCGCCGGAGAGGGUGAGAGCCCCGUACGGUUGGCGGCCAAGCCUGUAUGAAGCUCCUUCGACGAGUCGAGUUGUUUGGGA
rnacentral:rRNA from 1 species